GAAAAUGUGUUACAACUACUUGGUGCUUUCUCUUGUAUUGCACAAUGGAGUGCUGAUCUACUUCUGCAGCUUUGACUUGGAAUAUUUCUGUAAAGUAGGACACUUCCUAAAGGGAGAUACUGAUAAGUUUGUCAUCUCUGGCCUUUUCAACAAGCAAUGAAUGGUCAAGCAACAAUACAGCUCAUAGUUUCCCAGCACUAAUCUGGAACUACAUCGUAAAUUAUAAACAAAAUCCAGACGUCAAGGAAGAAUGGAAAUAGUUUUGGAUUUAUUGACAACAUCUAACCAAACCCACUGGGAGAGUCUUCAGAGAGUAUCCACAUCCUUGCCAUCUGUCUUCAGCAGCAUUGUGCCUCUGGGAAGCAAAGACUGGAUCUGCUUACUCUGUCCCAAACAACAACAGUAUCAGCUGAGAGGAUAAAGACAAGUUGCACACACUAAGAAGAUGUUAGCAUUUUAAUCUCACAGAUUAGUUUAGGCUCUUAAGAUCAUUUAAAAUGCAAUUGCACAGAGUACUGGCAGAACCGCUGAGGAGCAAUUGGUACAUCUGUACUUUUUUCUGUCUUAGGUUUAAGUGCCUAGCAUUGAAAUUGGUAGCUUGAAUACUUUUGAAUUCAGAAGCUAAGACAAUGUCACAGAUAAACUUUCUAUGCAAUAAAUGUCAGCUUCAUCAGUCUUCUUAGAAGUGAUAUGAUUAACUUCUGACAGCAUUUUGAGAACAUGUGCAGUUCUUUAUUUGGAUGUACGGUUGAAGCAGUGAUAAAUUC
ensembl:lncRNA